UACGAAGGGUGCAAGCGUUACUCGGAAUUACUGGGCGUAAAGCGUGCGCAGGCGGUGAUGUAAGACAGAUGUGAAAUCCCCGGGCUCAACCUGGGAACUGCAUUUGUGACUGCAUCGCUGGAGUACGGCAGAGGGGGAUGGAAUUCCGCGUGUAGCAGUGAAAUGCGUAGAUAUGCGGAGGAACACCGAUGGCGAAGGCAAUCCCCUGGGCCUGUACUGACGCUCAUGCACGAAAGCGUGGGAGCAAACAGG
rnacentral:rRNA from 1 species